UACAGAGGGGGCAAGCGUUAUUCGGAAUUAUUGGGCGUAAAGGGCGCGUAGGCGGCAUUGCAAGUGGAAGGUGAAAUCCCUCGGCUUAACCGAGGAACUGCCCUCCAAACUGCGUUGCUUGAGUCCGGGAGAGGUGAGUGGAAUUCCCAGUGUAGCGGUGAAAUGCGUAGAUAUUGGGAGGAACACCAGUGGCGAAGGCGGCUCACUGGACCGGUUCUGACGCUGAGGCGCGAAAGCGUGGGGAGCAAACGGG
rnacentral:rRNA from 1 species